AACGAACGCUGGCGGCAGGCCUAACACAUGCAAGUCGAGCGAGGACUUCGGUCCUAGCGGCGGACGGGUGAGUAACGCGUGGGAACGUGCCCUUUGCUUCGGAAUAGCCCUGGGAAACUGGGAGUAAUACCGGAUGAGCCCUUUGGGGGAAAGAUUUAUCGGCGAAGGAUCGGCCCGCGUUGGAUUAGGUAGUUGGUGGGGUAAUGGCCUACCAAGCCGACGAUCCAUAGCUGGUUUGAGAGGAUGAGCAGCCACACUGGGACUGAGACACGGCCCAGACUCCUACGGGAGGCAGCAGUGGGGAAUCUUAGACGAUGGGGGAAACCCUGAUCUAGCCAUGCCGCGUGAGCGAUGAAGGCCUUAGGGUUGUAAAGCUCUUUCAGCUGGGAAGAUAAUGACGGUACCAGCAGAAGAAGCCCCGGCUAACUCCGUG
rnacentral:rRNA from 1 species